rnacentral:rRNA from 1 species
CCUACUCUUGACAUCCAGAGAAUUUGCUAGAGAUAGCUUAGUGCCUUCGGGAACUCUGAGACAGGUGCUGCAUGGCUGUCGUCAGCUCGUGUUGUGAAAUGUUGGGUUAAGUCCCGCAACGAGCGCAACCCUUAUCCUUUGUUGCCAGCGCGUAAUGGUGGGAACUCAAAGGAGACUGCCGGUGAUAAACCGGAGGAAGGUGGGGAUGACGUCAAGUCAUCAUGGCCCUUACGAGUAGGGCUACACACGUGCUACAAUGGCGUAUACAAAGAGAAGCGAACUCGCGAGAGCAAGCGGACCUCAUAAAGUACGUCGUAGUCCGGAUCGGAGUCUGCAACUCGACUCCGUGAAGUCGGAAUCGCUAGUAAUCGUAGAUCAGAAUGCUACGGUGAAUACGUUCCCGGG